rnacentral:rRNA from 1 species
UACGUAGGGUGCAAGCGUUGUCCGGAAUUAUUGGGCGUAAAGAGCUCGUAGGCGGUUUGUCGCGUCUGCUGUGAAAACUCGGGGCUCAACUCCGAGCUUGCAGUGGGUACGGCCAGACUAGAGUGCGGUAGGGGAGACUGGAAUUCCUGGUGUAGCGGUGGAAUGCGCAGAUAUCAGGAGGAACACCGGUGGCGAAGGCGGUUCUCUGGGCAUUUCCUGACGCUGAGGAGCGAAAGUGUGGGGAGCGAACAGG